rnacentral:tRNA from 1 species
GGCCUGGUCGCCAAGUGGUAAGGCAAGGGUCUGCAAAACCCUUACUCGGGGGUUCGAUUCCCCCCCAGGCCUCCA